ACACACUAUGAUGUACCCAUGAAAAUUAAAACAUAAAGGGCAGUGGCAGCAGAGGUGGAGGAGGGAGACCGGGACAAGAUGCCAGUGCAUCCCCCAGCGGCGGCCGCCCGGCGGUGCCGACAAGAAGUCAAGCGGCAAGGAGUGGCAGGAUGCUGGGGACAAGGACAAAAAACAGGAGCUGUCUGAGGAGGAUAAACAGCUUCGAGAUGAACUGGAGAUGCUCGUGGAAUGACUGGGGGAGAAGAACACAUCCCUGUAUCGACCAGUGCUGGAGGAAUUGUGAACACAGAUUCGUUCUUCUACAACUUCUAUGACUUCAGUGCCCAAGCCUCUCAAUGUCUGCAUCCACACUAUGGCAAACUGAAGGAAAUCUUUGAGAACGUGGCCCCUGGGGAGAAUAAGCAUUUUGCUGCUGCUAUCAUCUCUGUUUUGGCCAUGGCCGUGAGUGGGGAGCGUGAGUGCCUCAAGUAUCAGCCAGUAGGCUCCCAGAAGGAGUUGGCAUCAUGGGGUCAUGAGUAUGUCAGGCAUCUGGCAGGAGAAGUGGCUAAGGAGUGGCAGGAGCUGGAUGACGCAGAGAAGGUCCAGCAGGAGCCACUGCUCACUCUGGUGAAGGAAAUCAUCCCCUACGACAUGGCCCACAAUACAGAGCAUGAGGCCUGCAACCUGCUGAUGGAAAUUGAGCAGGUAGACAUGCUGGAGAAGGACAUCGAUGAGAAUGCAUACACAAAGGUCUGCCUUUAUCUCACCAGUUGUGUGAAUUACGUGCCUGAAUCUGAGAACUCAGCCCUACUGCGUUGUGCCCUGGGUGUGUUCUGAACGUUUAGCUGCUUCCCUGAAGUCCUGAGAUUGGCCUUGAUGCUCAAUGACAUGGAGAUGGUAGAAGACAUCUUCACGUCCUGCAAGGAUGUGGUAUACAGAAACAGAUGGCAUUCAUGCUAGGCCGGCACGGGUUGUUCCUGGAGUUGAGGGAAGAUGUCGAGGAGUAUGAGCACCUGGCAGAGAUCGUGUCCAGUGUACCGCUCAACAGCAACUUCUUGGCCUUAGCUCAGGAACCGGACAUCAUGGAGCCCAAGGUGCCUGAUGACAUCUGCAAAACCCACUUAGAGAACACCAGGUUUGGGGGUAGUGGCUCUCAGGUGGACUCUGUCCGCAUGAACCUGGCCUCCUCUUUUGUGAAUGGCUCUGUGAAUGCAGCUUUUGGCCAAGACCAGCUGCUAACAGAUGAUGGCAACAAAUGGCUUUACAAGAACAAGGACCACGGAACAUCGAGUGCGGCUGCAUCUCUGGGGAUGAUUCUGCUGUGGGAUGUGGAUAGCGGCUUCACCCAGACUGACAAGUACCUGUACUCCUGUGAGGGCUACAUUAAGUCAGGAGCUCUUCUUGCCUGUGGCACAGUGAACUCAGGGGUCCGGAAUGAGUGUGACCCUGCUCUGGGACUGCUCUCAGACUAUGUUCUCCACAAAGCAACACCAUGAGACGUAGUUCCAUCUUUGGGCUAGGCUUGGCCUACACUGGCUCAAAUCGUGAAGAUGUCCUAACACUGCUGCUGCCUGUGAUGGGAGAUUCAAAGUCCAGCAUGGAGAUGGCAGGUGGGACAGCUCUAGUCUCUGGAAUGAUGGCAGUGGGGUCCUGCAAUGGAGAUGUAACUUCCACUAUCCUUCAGACCAUCAUGGAGAAGUCAGAGACUGAGCUCAAGAACACUUACACUCGUUGGCUUCCUCUUGGACUGGGUCUCAAUCACCUGGGGAAGAGUGAGGCCAUCGAGGCAAUCCUGGCUGAACUGGAGGUCGCGUCAGAGCCAUUCCGCAGUUUUGCUGACGCACUGGCGGAUGUGUGUGCAUAUGCAGGCUCUGGGAAUGUGCUGAAGGUGCAGCAGCUGCUCCACAUUUGUAGUGAACACGUUGACUCCAAAAAGGAGGAGAAAGACAAAGACAAGAAGGAAAAGAAGGACAAGGACAAAAAGGAAACUCCUGCUUUCUUUCUGGGAAAGAAACAUGGGAGCGCAUCAGGGAGUGGCUGUUCUGGGGAUUGCCCUUAUUGCUAUGGGGGAGACUGGUGCAGAGAUGGCACUACGAAUCUCCGGCCACUUGCUGAGAUAUGGGGAGCCUACACUCCGGAGGGCUGUACCUUAAGCACUGGCCCUCAUCUCCGUUUCAAAUCCACGACUCAACAUUCUGGAUACUCUAAGCAAAUUCUCUCAUGAUGCUGAUCCAGAAGUUUCCUAUAAGUCCAUUUUUGCCAUGGGCAUGGUGGGCAGUGGUACCAAUAAUGCCCAUCUGGUUGUAAUGUUGCACCAGUUAGCUCAAUGCCAAGGACCCCAACCACCUCUUCAUGAUGCACUUGGCACAAGGCCUGACACAUUUAGGGAAGGGUACACUUACCCUCUGCCCCUACCACAGUGACCGGCAGCUUAUGAGUCCAGUGGCCGUGGCUGGGCUGUUCACUGUGCUUGUCUCUUGCCUGGAUGUUUGAAACAUUAUUCUGGGCAAAUCACACUAUGUAUUGUAUGGGCUGGUGGCUGCCAUGCAGCCCCGAAUGCUGGUUACGUUUGAGGAGGACUUGUGGCCGUUGCCAGUGUCUGUCUGUGUGGACCAGGCAGUGCAUGUGGUGGGCCAGGCUGGCAAGCCCAAGACCAUCACAGGGAUCCAGACACAUACACCCCCAGUGUUGUUGGGGAACGGGCAGAAUUGGCCACUGAGGAAGUUCUUCCUGUUACCCCAUUCUGGAAGGUUUUGUUAUCCUUCGGAAGAACCCCAAUUAUGAUCUUUAAGUGACCACCAGGGGCUCUGAACUGCAGCUGACGUAUCAGUGGGCCAUGCAUCCUGCUGCCAAGGGUGGACACGGCUGCAGACUUCUGGGGGAAUUGUUGCCUCCUGCUCUUUUGUUACUGAGAUAAGGUUGUUCAAUAAAGACCUUUAUCCGCCCCCCGCCAAAAUAAAAAUAAAAAUAAAUAAAUAAAUAAAUAAGAAAAGGUUUUCUCCACUUGUCCCAUGACCCUGGGACCAUGGCUCAGAAGUCCUCUUGUCCAUCCGUCUUCAGUAAAUAUAAUCAAAAUACAAUUAAUAUUUACCAAAACAUGAGGUAACUUUCAGAUUCAAAAUAGCUCAGUUUGUGAUAGUCUUUCAUCUCAGCUAUAUUUUGGCUUCGCACUAGCAGCUUUGUUUUUUCCAAAGACACCCUCUUCUCAUGCUCCUGACUGGGUCCGAAGGAGCCUCAGUACAGCCUAACUAGGACCAUGAGCAGCUCAAUAUCAGAAAACAGUGAUGACAAUGAAGCCACCGUACUCCUACCUACAGGCUUAAACACAGCCCUCUUGCAACUUCAAAGCUACAGGGAGAUUCUGAUAUAUUUCUGAUCUGCACCCAAAGCACAUCCCAUCAGUCUAUGAUCAAAACUGUCCUCGUCUCAUGUAGCUACUUCCAAAUAAAUCAGUGUUGCCAAGUUUUUCCACACAAAGCAUCAUGGGAACUAAGUCUAAAUUGCCUUAGAAAUUGUGGCUUUGAGCAUCUGGUUCCCUCAGGCCAAAUGUCCCAACUCAACCACCCAACUUCUGAGGACUUCCCUCA